UGUACACAACGGAUCGGCCAGAUGGAUAAACGUUACUGAUUUAUGCUAGUGCCCGAAGAGGAAGUGCGGAUACAUGGUUGACACAAACGGAACAUGUUGCCUUCUACUGUAUUUAGCAAAGUUUCUGCAUGCCAGUGGUUUUUGUACGCUCCUAACUUAAACAUGGCUUUAUAAUUAAGUAAUCCGUUUAUUUUUAAUAGGCAGCUGGCUUAUUUUUUCCAUAAAGAUGUUUUCGAGAUUCUGUUUUGUUUAAAAUGCUCCUGGUUCGCCUUCUUAAAGGUCAUAGAAGACUCAUAUCAAAGGGCUUUUGAAACAAAUAAAGAGUAAAGAAUGACACUGAAAGCAUUCUUUAAGUGAACAAAUUUUUUUCUAUGCCAUGCUCCAUUACAUAGACUUUAAAGGUCCUAAAAAUAAUAUCUUCACUGAAAAGAUAAUAAUACUAUUUUGAGGCCUGCUCUUGGGAAGAAGUGUUCAUAAUUGGCCUCAAAAUGACAGCCAUCUGUGAAAAAUCUUGUUCAAGACAUAAAAUUUCCUUCCUGAAUCUGCUUUUUGCAAGCACAUUAAAAGUUUAGUAGUA